UUAUGGCACGAAGCCUGCUUCGGCAGGUGGAGAGCCAUANCUUAGUGGCGAACGGGUGAGUAAUACAUAGGUAACCUGCCCUCAGGAUGGGGAUACUCCCGGGAAACCGGGCACAAUACCGAAUAUGAUUCCGGGGUGAAAUGCCCAGGGAUAAAAGCUGCGAGCAAUCGUGGCGCCUGAGGAGGGGCCUGUGGCCUAUCAGCUUGUUGGUGAGGUAACGGCUCACCAAGGCCAAGACGGGUAGCCGGACUGAGAGGUCGAUCGGCCACACUGGAACUGAGACACGGUCCAGACUCCUACGGGAGGCAGCAGUGGGGAAUUUUGCGCAAUGGGCGAAAGCCUGACGCAGCGACACCGNGUGGGGGAAGAAGGCCUUCGGGUUGUAAACCCCUUUCAUGAGGGAAAAAGUUCCGGGUAACCGGAAUGAUGGUACCUCAAGAAGAAGCCACGGCUAACUCUGUGCCANCAGCCGCGGUAAGACAGAGGUGGCAAGCGUUGUUCGGAUCUACUGGGCUUAAAGGGCGUGUAGGCGUCCUGAUAAGUCAGAUGUGGAAGCCUUGGGCUCAACCCAAGAAUUGCAUUUGAUACUGU
rnacentral:rRNA from 1 species